rnacentral:rRNA from 1 species
CCUACGGGUGGCAGCAGUGGGGAAUAUUGGGCAAUGGGCGAAAGCCUGACCCAGCAACGCCGCGUGAAGGAAGAAGGCUUUCGGGUUGUAAACUUCUUUUGACAGGGAAGAGCAGAAGACGGUACCUGUCGAAUAAGCCACGGCUAACUACGUGCCAGCAGCCGCGGUAAUACGUAGGUGGCAAGCUUUAUCCGGAUUUAAUGGGUGUAAAGGGAGCGUCGACGGCGAUGCAAGUCAGACGUGAAAGGCGGGGGCCCCAACUCCGGAAGGCUGUGGAAACUGGAUGGCGGGAGUGAAGGAGAGGGAAGUGGAAGUCCUAGGGGAGCGGUGAAAUGCGUAGAUAGUAGGAGGAACACCAGAGGAGAAGGCGGCUUACUGGACUGUAACUGACGUGGAGGGACGAAAGCGUGGGGAGCAAACAGGAUUAGAUACCCGGGUAGGC